CCUACGGGAGGCAGCAGUGAGGAAUAUUGGUCAAUGGACGAGAGUCUGAACCAGCCAAGUAGCGUGAAGGAUGACUGCCCUAUGGGUUGUAAACUUCUUUUAUAUGGGAAUAAAAUGUUCCACGUGUGGGAUUUUGUAUGUAACAUAUGAAUAAGGAUCGGCUAACUCCGUGCCAGCAGCCGCGGUAAUACGGAGGAUCCGAGCGUUAUCCGGAUUUAUUGGGUUUAAAGGGAGCGUAGGUGGAUUGUUAAGUCAGUUGUGAAAGGUUGCGGCUCAACCGUAAAAUUGCAGUUGAAACUGGCAGUCUUGAGUACAGUAGAGGUGGGCGGAAUUCGUGGUGUAGCGGUGAAAUGCUUAGAUAUCACGAAGAACUCCGAUUGCGAAGGCAGCUCACUGGACUGCAACUGACACUGAGGCUCGAAAGUGUGGGUAUCAAACAGGAUUAGAUACCCCAGUAGUC
rnacentral:rRNA from 1 species